rnacentral:rRNA from 1 species
UACGGGGGAUGCAAGCGUUAUCCGGAAUCAUUGGGCGUAAAGCGCCUGUAGGUUGUUUAAUAAGUCUGUUGUUAAAGACUAGGGCUCAACCUUAGAUAAGCAAUGGAAACUACUGGACUAGAGUAUGGCAGGGGUAGAGGGAAUUUCUAGUGUAGCGGUGAAAUGCGUAGAUAUUAGAAAGAACACCGGUGGCGAAAGCGCUCUACUGGACCAUUACUGACACUCAGAGGCGAAAGCUAGGGUAGCAAAAGGGAUUAGAUACCCCUGUAGUCCUAGCCGUAAACGAUGGAUACUAGAUGUUGCAUGUAAUAUGCAGUAUCCUAGCUAACGCGUUAAGUAUCCCGCCUGGGGAGUACGCUCGCAAGGGUG